UCAAAUUAAAAAAAGUUAUUGACAUCAAAGGCUGAAAAAAGCAUUGUAAUUUUUUGUUUGGAAAUCUCAGUAAAUUCAAUACAUGUACAGUUUUUAAUUUGCUACAAAAAAGUGAAUUUUUAAAAAGAGGGAUUGUAUGAAAUAUUGAUAACUAUGAAUUCCCAAAGGUGCUGGAUUGUCAAUAUUAGAGCAAAGAUCCUGAUAGUAAAAAGAUUUUUUUGUGAAGAGUGCAAAGUAUUGUAACUUGUGAUUGGCGAUCCAUUGGUUCUGAUGUACAGCACAUUGAAUGGGUUCUAUGUAUUGAUACCAAUGCUGUCAUUACAGUGUAUUUUUUAAUAUGGUGUUUUUUUUGUACUCUACAUUUUUGUUUGGAUGUUAUAUCACAAAAUUAUUAUGUGAUCAAAUUUUGAAUAUAUCAAUUGUUGUGUGUGUUGUUAUGGUGAUGAUGAAACUGCAUUUUUUUUUUUAUUUUGACAUUUCUUGUAUUCCAUAUUUUAUAUAAAAGAUGAGAAUUGAU
rnacentral:sRNA from 1 species